GUGGGGAAUUUUGGACAAUGGGCGAAAGCCUGAUCCAGCCAUGCCGCGUGCAGGAUGAAGGCCUUCGGGUUGUAAACUGCUUUUGUACGGAACGAAAAGACUCCUUCUAAUAAAGGGGGUCCAUGACGGUACCGUAAGAAUAAGCACCGGCUAACUACGUGCCAGCAGCCGCGGUAAUACGUAGGGUGCAAGCGUUAAUCGGAAUUACUGGGCGUAAAGCGUGCGCAGGCGGUUAUAUAAGACAGGCGUGAAAUCCCCGGGCUCAACCUGGGAAUUGCGCUUGUGACUGCAAGGCUGGAGUGCGGCAGAGGGGGAUGGAAUUCCGCGUGUAGCAGUGAAAUGCGUAGAUAUGCGGAGGAACACCGAUGGCGAAGGCAAUCCCCUGGGCCUGCACUGACGCUCAUGCACGAAAGCGUGGGGAGCAAACAGGAUUAGAAACCCUUGUAGUCC
rnacentral:rRNA from 1 species